rnacentral:rRNA from 1 species
AAGUGAAGGGUUUGAUCCUGGCUCAGAAUGAACGUUGGCGGCGUGGAUUAGGCAUGCAAGUCGUGCGGAAAGGCCCCUUCGGGGGUACUCGAGCGGCGAAAGGGAGAGUAAUGCGUGGAUUACCUGCCCCCAGGACCGGGAUAGCCGCGGGAAACUGCGGGUAAUACCGGAUAAUGUCUCCGGACCAAAGGUGCAAGUCCGCCUGGGGAGGGGUUCACGUGCUACUAGCUUGUUGGUGAGGUAAUGGCUCACCAAGGCUGUGAUGGCUAUGGGGUGUGAGAGCAUGGCCCCACUCACUGGGACUGAGACACUGCCCAGACACCUACGGGUGGCUGCAGUCGAGAAUCUUCGGCAAUGGGCGCAAGCCUGACCGAGCGACGCCGCGUGCGGGAU